UGAUAGCUCGGUCAGUAGAGCACGAGACUCUUUAUCCCGGGGCUGUGAGUUCGAGCCUCAUGUUGGGUGAA